GUUGGGGUUGGGGUCACCGUAGUGGUGGUGGUGAUGGGUGUCGAUGUUGGGGUCUGUGUGCCGGUGGGUGUUGGGGUUGGGGUCACUGUGGUGGUGGUGCUGAUGGGUGUCGUUGUUGGGGUCUGUGUGCCGGUGGGUGUUGGGGUUGGGGUCACCGUAGUGGUGGUGGUGAUGGGUGUCGGGGUUGGGGUCUGUGUGCCGGUGGGUGUUGGGGUUGGG
rnacentral:lncRNA from 1 species